AACAAAUGGGCACACAUACAAAGUUGAAACCAAUUAUUGCACCAGCCACCAUGCGAACAUCUUCAGUGCUAAGUUCUUGCCAUGCUCUUCUGAUAAACAGAUCGUUUCGUGUUCAGGCGAUGGAAUCAUCUUACACACAGAUCUCGAAAACACCAAAAAUACUUACUACAACCAGUUCAGUUGCCAUGCAGGAACCACUUAUGAGGUGAUUACCAUCCCAAAUGAUCCCAAUAUACGUUUCUCAGUUGUGGGGAGGAUGGCACAGUGCGUUGGUUUGAUUUGAGGACAAAGACAAGUUGCCGAAAACCGCGUUGUAAAGAAGAUAUUUUAAUUAAGUGUCAGAGAGCUGUUACAGCUCUUGCAAUAAGUCCAACUGCACCUCAUCAGCUUGCAGUUGGAUGCGCUGAUUCAACAGUGCGUAUUUAUGACAGACG